UCGGGAAUUUUGGGCAAUGGGGGAAACCCUGACCCAGCAACGCCGCGUGAAGGAUGAAGUAUUUCGGUAUGUAAACUUCGAAAGAAUAGGAAGAAUAAAUGACGGUACUAUUUAUAAGGUCCGGCUAACUACGUGCCAGCAGCCGCGGUAAUACGUAGGGACCAAGCGUUGUUCGGAUUUACUGGGCGUAAAGGGCGCGUAGGCGGCAUGACAAGUCACUUGUGAAAUCUCUGGGCUUAACCCGGAACGGUCAGAUGAUACUGCUUUGCUAGAGUGCAGAAGGGGCAAUCGGAAUUCUUGGUGUAGCGGUGAAAUGCGUAGAUAUCAAGAGGAACACCUGAGGUGAAGACGGGUUGCUGGGCUGACACUGACGCUGAGGCGCGAAAGCCAGGGGAGCAAACGGGAUUAGAUACCCAAGUAGUCCCUGAGCGGGCUGGCAAGGCGCAU
rnacentral:rRNA from 1 species